rnacentral:tRNA from 1 species
GGAGAGAUGUCCGAGUGGUUGAAGGAGCACGCCUGGAAAGCGUGUGUACUGGAAACGGUACCGAGGGUUCGAAUCCCUCUCUCUCCG